UCCAGUGUGGUGUAAUGGUUUGAAUGCUGGACUAGGAGUCUGGGAGACCAGGGUUCAAAUCCCUGCUCAGACA